rnacentral:scRNA from 1 species
GCCAUCGCGCAAUUCUGAAGUUAUAUCAGAAA